GCGCUAACGGCUUCAACAGGAGAGAGAAUCAGUCACCACAGGGUUAUGUUCAGUAGGCACCAAAAGGAAGAAAAUGGGAUUCCAGUUCAUCCUCUUCCUCCUCCUCCUCCUCUGACAGCAGCUCUUCAGACAGUGAAGAUAAGAAGAAGAAGAAGAAGAAGAAGAAGAAGAAGAAGAAGAAGAAGAAGAAGAAGAAGAAGAAGGAGGAAAAGAAAGAAGGUGCUGGGGAUAUCAUAGUACAUGAUGUAGCCUUCAUAUCUGAGCCUGGGCUUGAAGGCUGCACUGAUCUAAACCAUGAGGAAACAGAGAAGAAAGAGGAU